rnacentral:tRNA from 1 species
GAGGGUAGAGCUCAGUGGUAGAAUGUGUGCUUAGCAUGCACAUGGUCCUGGGUUCAAUCCUCAGUAUCUCCA